CCCGUCGAUCCCCUCCGGAAGACCCCGCUGGAUCUUGCGUCGGGGCCACGGUUCUGGAUCGCCGUCGCAGGGCGGUUUCAACCAGAGCCGGCGGCCUUGAGGAGAGGAGCUCGACGAGCGGGCAGGGUGACCCCGUGCCUUGGAGACGGCGACCCUCAACCCCUUGCUGCUGUGGUGCACUGGGCACAUCUGUGACGAGGAGGAGGCGAGCCACAAUUCAUCACCUUCCUCGUCUCUCUCAUGGCUGUGCACAAGGAUGUCCGCACCCCGAGCCGAGCUCUGUUUGACCGGAGGACAAGCAGAGGAAAGGCGAACAGGGGUGAUGACGUGGCUCCUGAGCAAGGUGAACAUCGCCUUUAAGGCGAGCGGUGGCGGCACCUUAUCUUGGGCCCCUACAAUAAGUAAACUCAACAUGCGUGAUUCUGAUUAGAGGCAACCGGAUCGUUAUUGAACAUAUUGAUGAUUCCUGUUGUGUAUUCUCAAGGAAUGGUCAGGUUUAGUACUGUAACUAUUUUCUUAUCAAAUAUAUUUGGGUGGUGCUCAAAAUGCAGAGCUGAAAAGCAAGAAACGUAAAGCCACCUCUGAAGAUAAGUUCACCAUGCCUCCCAGAGUGUCACCCCGCUUCGUUGAACUUAAUGGAAUAAGAUCAGAUCAGAAUAACCUUUGUAAACUAGGCAACUGAAUCAUUUCAUUGUUGCUUGUCCAUGUAACUAAGAACUAUCAUUUGGGUACCAAGUUCCACUUCAGGCCAGGAAAAUUUCUUAUAACUUCAAAACGGCAACGGAUGCACCAUUGUCUUCAGGUCUGCCUUGCAGGUUGGAGUGCAGCUGUCAGAUAUCUUUCUUUCCUUGGGAUAGUUGGAAUGGAAUACUAUGACUAGAUAUACAAUGGUAUUGUUAUCAGUGUUCGGCCUUCAAUGAUUUCGGUGCAGCAUGUCUAGACCAUCAACGGUAAUUUGAGCUCCUUAGUGAAGUAGGUUUGUAAGGCGUUGCUUCAACUCAAGAAAAUCAAUGGCCACAAUUGGGAAGUUGACUGACAAUCCAAAGAGAGUGCCAAUUUUCAAUCUCGUGUUUAGGUGCUUACAUCAAUCUCGUGCAUAGUCUCGAUCACCGCCACCGGGGCAGCUACUUCUGCUGGCAGGGGCUGGGCGCCGCCGUGAGGAUGCUAUCACCCAUGCACACAGUGAUGGCAUGGUGGCCGAAGAAGGCCGUCUUCUGGGGAGCCGCGCGCUGGCCGCCAUAUCCACCCGCGGCCACA